UUAGAGUUUGAUCCUGGCUCAGAACGAACGCUGGCGGCGUGGAUAAGACAUGCAAGUCGAACGAGAGAAUUGCUAGCUUGCUAAUAAUUCUCUAGUGGCGCACGGGUGAGUAACACGUGAGUAACCUGCCCCCGAGAGCGGGAUAGCCCUGGGAAACUGGGAUUAAUACCGCAUAGUAUCGAAAGAUUAAAGCAGCAAUGCGCUUGGGGAUGGGCUCGCGGCCUAUUAGUUAGUUGGUGAGGUAACGGCUCACCAAGGCGAUGACGGGUAGCCGGUCUGAGAGGAUGUCCGGCCACACUGGAACUGAGACACGGUCCAGACACCUACGGGUGGCAGCAGUCGAGAAUCAUUCACAAUGGGGGAAACCCUGAUGGUGUGACGCCGCGUGGGGGAAUGAAGGUCUUCGGAUUGUAAACCCCUGUCAUGUGGGAGCGAAUUAAAAAGAUAGUACCACAAGAGGAAGAGACGGCUAACUCUGUGCCAGCAGCCGCGGUAAUACAGAGGUCUCAAGCGUUGUUCGGAAUCACUGGGCGUAAAGCGUGCGUAGGCUGUUUCGUAAGUCGUGUGUGAAAGGCGCGGGCUCAACCCGCGGACGGCACAUGAUACUGCGAGACUAGAGUAAUGGAGGGGGAACCGGAAUUCUCGGUGUAGCAGUGAAAUGCGUAGAUAUCGAGAGGAACACUCGUGGCGAAGGCGGGUUCCUGGACAUUAACUGACGCUGAGGCACGAAGGCCAGGGGAGCGAAAGGGAUUAGAUACCCCUGUAGUCCUGGCAGUAAACGGUGCACCCUUGGGGUGCGGGGAAUCGACCCCCUGCGUGCCCGACCUAACCCGUUAAGC
rnacentral:rRNA from 1 species